CAAAGCAAUUGAAAAUCAAGGAUUAGCCAAGAAAAAGCAGACAGAACAAUCUUCACAAUCCUUAGAUGGUCAGACUCCCUCUACUAUCAGCAGCAGCAACCAAGACAGUCUCAUUCUGUAGCCAAGGACAUAGGAGCACCACAAGUACUUUGUACAGCAUCUCUUGACAGCACCAUCCUUUGCCUCCGAGUUCCAAUGAACGUGGUACUGCUUUGGGAAUCAAGUGCUAAGGGUGAAAACCUAUGCAACUGGAAAGAAACUUCUGCCACCAACAUGCA
rnacentral:lncRNA from 1 species